rnacentral:rRNA from 1 species
AGAGACAGCAGUAGCCGCGGUAAAACGGAGGGUGCAAGCGUUAAUCGGAAUUACUGGGCGUAAAGCGCACGCAGGCGGUCUGACAAGUCAGAUGUGAAAUCCCCGGGCUUAACCUGGGAACUGCAUUUGAAACUGUCAGGCUGGAGUCUUGUAGAGGGGGGUGGAAUUCCAGGUGUAGCGGUGAAAUGCGUAGAGAUCUGGAGGAAUACCGGUGGCGAAGGCGGCCCCCUGGACAAAGACUGACGCUCAGGUGCGAAAGCGUGGGGAGCAAACAGGAUUAGAUACCCCAGUAGUCCCUGUCUCUUAUAA